UCGGAUUCUGAAGAAAUUCCUAGCAGAGUCACCAGAGCUAUCACACUCCUUUUUUGACCAAAAAAUAUUUAGAUUUUACGGUUUGAAAGGGCUUUUAUUAAAGUGACAAAAAUGAAGAUUUGUUUUGAAAAAGGAUUAUUAACAUUAAAGAUCAGAGUCGCCACUUGAAAUAAUUGGGUGUGCCAAGUCACAUUUGGAAAAUCCUUUUCAAAAUGGUUUGUGACUCUAAAA
rnacentral:lncRNA from 1 species